rnacentral:rRNA from 1 species
AGAGGGUGCAAGCGUUAAUCGGAAUUACUGGGCGUAAAGCGCGCGUAGGCGGAUAUUUAAGUCGGAUGUGAAAGCCCUGGGCUCAACCUGGGAACUGCAUUCGAUACUGGAUAUCUAGAGUAUGGUAGAGGAAAGUAGAAUUCCUGGUGUAGCGGUGAAAUGCGUAGAUAUCAGGAGGAAUACCAGUGGCGAAGGCGGCUUUCUGGACCAAUACUGACGCUGAGGUGCGAAAGCGUGGGGGAGCAAACAGGAUUAGAGACCCUGGUAGUCCACGCCGUCAACGAUGAGAACUAGCCGUUGGGAGGCAUGACCUCUUAGUGGCGAAGCUAACGCGUUAAGUUCUCCGCCUGGGAGUACGGCCGCAAGGUU